rnacentral:lncRNA from 15 species
AAAAUAAAUAAAAAAUAAAUAGCCUCAGCCUACCAUAGGCUAUAUGUAAGUAAUCACAGUAAACAUAAACCUCACAGCACUGACAAAUCCCAUAACACAAACACCCACAUGCAUGCACACUGCAUUAAUUUCAUGAUAAACAUAUAUCAGCUGAUAUGAUUUUGGAAUAUGGAAAUCAUGUUAAUUUGUUAUUUUCUAGAUGGGACCUACAUAUGGAAGAAGGAUGAUAAAGGGGUAUCUCGCUAUGAAAGGAGUGCAUGCAGCAGAGACACGAAUUGGAUCAGUGCUCAGAACCAUGCAUCAGCCUUACCAUGAAGCAAGACGUCAGGGUGCCCGCAAUCUCAAUCCCAUACCAUAUCAAGCUGACUACAUGGGUCACAAGGUUCAUAUGGACCAAAAUGAAAAACUGGCUAUGUUUGGGGUCACCCAUGUUUUAGCCAUUGAUUGCUUCCGCAAAAAGGUUGUUGCUUAUUCUACAAUGCCUAUAAAAAACAACCUUGCCAUCUAUGAAGAUGUUUUCAGGCCUGCAGUACUUGCCUAUGGUAUGUGGGACCAGGUGCGAGUAGAUCAUGGCAAGGAGUUUUAUUUGACGCUCUUCAUGCAGGAGCAGCUGUCAUCUCAUCGCCAUAAUCAGGAGAGAAGGCCUUAUUUACAGACUUCAUCCACAAGGAACCAUAUAGUUGAACGAGUCUGGCCUGAGGUCAACAAUUGUGUCAAUUAUCCACUGAAGACAGCCCUUCUGCAGUUGGUGGAUCAAGAGGAACUAGACAUGGACGACAACCUUGUGAGAUACUGUGUGUCCAACCUGACUGGCCAGUUGUGCCAGAUUGGUCUCACAAGGAUGGUGGACUCAUGGAAUGCUCACCGAAUUCCAGGUAAAGGUAUACCCAAUGACUUGGCUGGCAGUGGGUGUCCCAAAAAAAUCCCACAGGAGCUGUUGCCUCAUUCAGCUGAAGCAGCAGACCUUCACGGACAACAGCUGGGAUCCUCACUGACAACACAUUCUGCUUUUG